CCAUCAUUUAUAUUCUCUUAUUACUAUUACUUUGAUUUCUUUUGCUGAUUUCAUCACUCUGAUUUUAUUCUUUCACCCCACACUCAUUAUUAUAUCACAGUUACUGAUUCAUGCUUUGUAUUAUAAAGUUACACUAAUGGUUCAGUUAAAGUUGCAUUGGUUCAGUUUUUAGAUGGCCCAUUUCCUUGGUACCAAACUAGCGAAAUUUGCAACAUGACUCCCAAAUGAGCCCGAUAUGUGUGCAUCAUGAUUGUGGCUUCCAAACUUCUGUGAUACAAUGAUUGCAGCCUGCCAAAGCAUAGAAAGAAAUUCAGGAGUUGCGGGGAGGUUCUUGUUUGAAGCUUUGGUGAUGGGAAAGCUUGUGUGCUCGGAAUUAGCAGCUGAAGGUUUGGAUUUUAUGGGACUGCUGGUGGCGUUGGUGAUAGCUAUGACCCUUAUGAUCAUCUGCAGCAGACCUCCAACUCCAAGGCGGGCUGUAAUUGCUUUUCAUCGCUAUGCUUGAGUCCUUGACAAGUGACAACUUUCUUUGUUGAAGAUCCUCGGGCUUGAUGUACUUUUGGUCUGUCUGAAUUUCCCUUCAUAGUUUUUAGUUUUUGGUCUUUAUUUUGGAUAUGAUGACCCUGGUCAAUAGUACACAUAGGGGGUUUUCGUAGUGAUAUGGUUCAUGUUAUGGGUACAAAAAAGUGACUGCAAGUCACUGACUUAUUUGUCUGAUUGCAGAGAAUGUUUUGCUGCAGUGAAUCUUUUAAUAAAAUGAUGAGAGUUUCUUCCUUUUU